ACGUAGGGUGCAAGCGUUAAUCGGAAUUACUGGGUUUAAAGGGUGCGUAGGCGGCUUUGUAAGUCAGGAGUGAAAGUUUGCGGCUCAACCGUAAAAUUGCUUCUGAUACUGCAUGGCUAGAAUUAGGAUGAGGUCAGCGGAAUGUGGCAUGUAGCGGUGAAAUGCAUAGAUAUGCCAUAGAACACCAAUUGCGAAGGCAGCUGGCUAGACCUGGAUUGACGCUGAGGCACGAAAGCGUGGGGAGCGAACAGGAUUAGAUACCCUGGUAGUCCACGCCCUAAACGAUGCUUACUCGACGUAUGGCACUAGUUGUUGUGCGUCCAAGGGAAACCGUUAAGUAAGCCACCUGGGGAGUACGACCGCAAGGUUG
rnacentral:rRNA from 1 species